rnacentral:rRNA from 1 species
UACGGGGGGGGCAAGCGUUGUUCGGAAUUACUGGGCGUAAAGGGCUCGUAGGCGGCCAACUAAGUCGGACGUGAAAUCCCUCGGCUUAACCGGGGAACUGCGUCCGAUACUGGAUGGCUUGAGGUUGGGAGAGGGAUGCGGAAUUCCAGGUGUAGCGGUGAAAUGCGUAGAUAUCUGGAGGAGCACCGGUGGCGAAGGCGGCAUCCUGGACCAAUUCUGACGCUGAGUGAGCGAAAGCCAGGGGAGCAAACGGG